UUUCGUUAUCCUUCGCCAUCAUUUGACACAUCUGAUUUGCCAUGCAUAAAAAAAAGCGGCUGUAAGCCGCUUUUUUGUAUCG
rnacentral:sRNA from 1 species